AAACUCCACGGAUCAGGAAACUCCCUUGCCAUAGAAUGCCGAGUCUGAAGAAUUGCAUCUGCUAUCGUGACUCUCAAACACGAAGCAUCCUCCGAAAAUAAUCGAAGCAUUGAAUAGUUUUAAUUCGAACACAUUUGUUAAAAAGUCUUUAUCAUGACUCCGGGUGGAAGAUACAACGAGCCGUAUCGCCACAAGGACAGAUGUUCGUGGGCUAGGAUAUGCUGUGCAAUAAUUGUGGUUGCCAUUAUCAUGGAGCUAUUGGCCCUUCUUCUUUGGAUCUUAUACCGCAAUGGUAAAUUAUGAGUAAAGCCAUGAAUCAACGUGGAUGUUCAUCUGACAAAUUUGGUUUUACGGCAAACUGUCCCGGAAAAAGUAUUGACGCCGCACUGCACAAAGCAAACCACAGCUCAACGGAGAAAACACCAUCACACAGACAAAUCCACGUCACACCAAGAAAUUGGAAGGAUAGUAUGUCGUUGAAAAUACCACAAUACUCUUUAAUUGGUCUGGUUUAUUUGGUGUAACUGGGACAUACUUGUGACAUUUCAAUAGGAAAGUGGUCGUCAUCACUAGAGAACAGAUCAUGAUAGCAUAUUUGCUUGUUCCUUCAUUGUUGGUAAAGUACUUAUCAGCAAUGACAUCUUUUACGGAAAGGGGGUACCCACAAUUUAAGGGUUUAAGAAUUGUAACAAUUUUUUUUGGCAUAUAAUGAACCGUUCGAAUGUAAUCUACUCUAUGAAUAUAAAGUAUUUACUCACAUUCUAAUGCAAAUGCAAGGUAUCUAAGCACGAAAUAAAGAGCGUGGAUGAUGAUUAGGAUUCAUUUAAUUAACAAUAUGAUAUAAAUUAUUGCAUCACCUAUAAUUGAUCAAUAAGGCUGAAGCUUUAGGCUGAAAAUAUGUUUAGUGGACGCUGGUUGUAGAAUAUCGUCAACAAUCUGUAUAUAUUUAUUUUUUAUAUUAGGUUCUGUAAACAAUAUACAAAAACCCACUAUUUUCUAAUAUUGUUGUUUUUGAAAAGCUAUGUACCAUUCUCUCUGUCUUUAACGUUUACAAUACCUCCUUUUGAAUGUAGGAUUGUUGCAAGGCAUUAUGCCACUCUUUGGCAAACGCAAGAUGUAAAAUAUGUCACGUGGUUCCUGAGGCUUGAGAGCUAGGCUAUCACCCAUUCGUCUGGAAACAAUUUCCGCAAUUAUUAAAUUUUCCAUUCCAAUUGGUAUUAUAUUCUAGGUCAUCCAUGAUAAUAAUAAUUCGAUAAUAUUUUAUUGUCAGAUCAGUUUGUUUAAUAAAUGCAAAUUGUGGUGACGAUAUGGAAAUUGCCUAAAAAAGAAGAAAAAAAUCCAGAUACCGAUAGAAUUAUCACCUACGCGUGUUUAUAUACAAUUAAGAAAUAUGUGUCAAUUUGUAGUAAAAAUGUGGAAUUGAUAAUAAUUAAAAGUGGUGCUUCUGCAAGGUUGGUCUUUGUCUAAGUUAAUGUACCGUCCGAAUGAGGUUAAUCGUUUUGUGUUCUUCAGAUACAUAAUUUGCCACCUUAAAUGCCACGAUUAAAUGAGAUCUAGAUAAUAUGGGUGACAGAUAACCUUCAUUUCGAAGGCUUUAUUAGGAAUCCAUUGUUUGCUACAGACGUAUUGGUUAAGCUUUGCUGUGAUAUAGUAUAGUUUUUGAGAUUUAUUGCGACAAUCAAAUUGUAAUGAUAAACGUGAGGAGACAAAUGUAAUGUUUGCCAAUUUAAUGUCAUUCUAUAUGCAUGCAAAUGUAUAUUCAUGAUAAUACAUAGGAGUACUAUUUAGAGUUCUUAAUUGUGUAAUUAAAGGAAAGUAGGUCAAUGCGUUUAAAUGGCUGGGGGAUGCUUAAUUGCUUUCAUUGAUUAAUACCUUGAGAGAUAAAAGUGUGUAAAUUAAACAAUGUUCAUUGCAAAUACAAUGUCGAUCAGCAUUUACUUUUUACAAAGAUUUAUACACAACCCUAAACAUUCGAAUUUAAAUGAUGCAUUACUUUGAUUGAAUUACACAUAAUUAUGUUCUAUUGAUUAUGAGCUCACUUUAGUUUAUAUACCGUAGAACCUUUAGCUGUCUUUUGAUGUGUAUGUAAAAUAGCUGUUGUCAUUUUUUCUGAUUAUAUUGUUAACGACCAUAAGUAAUGCCUUCAGAUCUAUUAUCUUGCAUUAUUUACAUUUCUUAUUUUUUUCAAAUUGAUGUUUGUCCUUGUGUCUUUUUAUCUUAGAUAUUGGUUUCACAUUGUUUCCAUUGAUAUUAUAAUAUAAAAUAUUGAGAUGAAA